rnacentral:siRNA from 1 species
CCACAUAUCUGAACUAUACGA